AAACAUUAGCAGGAACUUUAGAAUGGGCGAUGCUGAAUUUGUUGAACCAUCCAGAAGUACUAGAGAAAGCGAGGACCGAAAUCGAUACCAAAAUCGGUUUUGACCGGUUAAUAGAUGAAGCCGAUACUAAAAAUCUCCCUUAUCUCCAAUGGAUAGUGUUGGAGACCCUACGUCUUCAUCCAGCAGCUCCAACAAAUGUUCCACAUAUGACGUCAGAUGAUUGUAUGUUGGCAGGAUACGACGUUCCACGUGGUUCGAUGUUAUUGGUGAACAUAUGGGCCAUGCAUAGAGACCCGUCAGUAUGGGAAGACCCCGAAAUGUUCAAGCCAGAGAGGUUCGAAAAUCAAAAGCUUAAUCAAAAGUUGUUGUCGUUUGGGAUUGGACGAAGAGCUUGUCCUGGGGUUGGCCUAGCUCAUCGGUUACUGAGCUUGGCUCUUGGAUCGAUGGUUCAGUGUUUUGAAUGGCAGAGAAUUGGAGAAGAAUAUGUUGACACGAGAGAAGAACUUAUGGCCAUGAUGCGUCCUGCGACACCAUUGCUAGCCAUGUGUAAAGCUCGUCCCAUUGUCCAUAAGAUUCUUAAUGCUUUUGCUUGAAGUGUAACUAAAAAAAUAUGUACUAAAAAAAUUAUCAUGUCAAAAAAUCAAAUAGACAAACAUAUAACUUAUACAAAUUUCUAAAUUUUAAUAACUCGAAUUAAUUUUUUUUUUUUUUUGAGAAAUAUAGAGACUGACCGUUUACUAGGUCAGUUUUGGAGAGCCAUAGGUAAAGAGAUUAGAGAGUGAUGAUUGUUUCACAGGACAAAAGACGAUGACUUAAAAAGUCAACUCCAGUCUUCUCUCUUUUCGUUCCACCAAUAAUUUCAAUUCUCUAUUUCUCUUUUAAUCUCAUCUUCUUCUUCAAUCCAGUCUUCACAUCGACCACACAUGUUUCUUCAUCCAUUGACCUCAAAUACUUGACUUUCCCUCUUUCUCCUUCUCUGCAUCAAAGCUAUGGAGAAUUUCUGUUUUCAAAACUCUGUUUCUCUCUUUGUAUCGAUUAUGGUUCUUGUUCUUCUUCCUCGUCUCACUCUUUCUGCUACUUCGACGUACACUCGUCCUGAGAAGUUUUACGUCAACUGUGGAUCGGAUUCUAAUGUCUUUUAUGGUGGUCAGACCUUCGUUGGAGAUAAGAACUUCAGUGGUAACUCUGUUUCCUUCACCAAUAGAACUGAAGUCAUCGACAACCAAUCGUCCGUUGUGCCUGAAAUCUACCGGACGGUUAGGAUAUUCAGACGCCCUUCUUCUUACGAGUUCAAACUUGAUUCUCUUGGUCUGCACUUUGUGCGUCUCCAUUUCUCUGUUGUGUUUUCUCGGGCAGAUCUUUUAACUGCUCGGUUCACUGUCUCUGCAAUUUCUGGUUCUAAUCAUCACUUGAAAAGUUUCCCGCUUCAGAAUUUCACUGAGACCCCAAGAGUUGAAGAGUUUCUCCUGAUGAUGGACUCGCUGGAGUUCGAAAUUCGAUUAGUGCCGGAUCAUUCCUCUUUGGCUUUCGUCAACGCCAUUGAAGUGUUCCCUGCUCCUAAUGACCUCGAAAUUCAGCCAGAUUUCGACAAGAAUCUGCAUAUGAUUUACAGAUUAAACGUAGGAGGUGAGAAAAUCACACCGGAUAAUGAUACCUUGGGACGAACUUGGUCGCCUGAUGAUGAAGACUUUCUCUACCGAAAAGAUUCUGCGAGGAACAUUAAUUCAACACAAACGCCUAACUACAAUACAGCAGGGUCACUGUCAGCCACGGAAUUCACUGCUCCUGCUUUCGUCUACAAGACAGCUAAAGCAAUGAACCGCAGCUCGAAUGAGCGGGUGGGGAUGUUGACGAAUGUUACAUGGUCGUUCAAGGUCAAAAGUAACUAUAGACACUUCAUCAGGAUUCAUUUCUCUGAUAUUUUAAGUAACUUCUCAAACUCCGACUCCGAUUUCUAUCUCUAUGUAAAUGGGUACUGGCGAGUAGAUGUAAAGCCUUCAGAGCAGCCUAAGUUGGCAACUCCGUUUUUUAUCGAUGUCGUGAAUGUCUCUGAUGGUUCUGGACUCUUGAAUAUUAGUAUAGGUACUAAGGAGGCCGAUAAAGAUGCUGGUUUUCUGAAUGGUCUGGAGAUGAUGGAGUUUUUGAUUAAAUCUGGUUCUGAUUCUUCAAAUAGAAGCAGUUCCCGGGUUCAUAUCAUCGCUGGUUGUGUUUCUGCUGCUGCAUCGGCUCUGGUCUUGAGUUUGUUGUUUAUGGUAUUCUUGAAGCGGAGGAGAUCGAAGAAGACUAAGCCAGACGUUGAAGGCACUGUAUGGUCUCCUUUGCCAUUGCACAGAGGUGGAAGUUCAGACAAUAGACCUAUCUCACAAUACCACAACUCGCCAUUACGCAACCUACACUUAGGCUUAACGAUUCCCUUCACAGACAUUCUGAGCGCUACAAACAAUUUCGACGAGGAGUUGUUGAUCGGGAAAGGCGGGUUCGGAGAUGUUUACAAAGCUAUUCUUCCUGAUGGAACCAAAGCCGCUAUCAAAAGAGGCAAAACCGGCUCAGGACAAGGCAUCUUAGAGUUUCAAACCGAGAUUCAAGUCCUCUCAAGAAUCCGGCACAAACACCUCGUCUCUCUAACGGGCUACUGCGAAGAAAACUCGGAAAUGAUCCUCGUCUACGAGUUUAUGGAGAAAGGUACACUUAAAGAACAUCUAUACGGCUCGAAUCUACCUCCCUUGUCAUGGAAACAAAGACUAGAGAUCUGCAUUGGAGCAGCUAGAGGUUUACAUUAUCUCCACAGUUGCGCAGAAGGAGUAAUCAUACACAGAGACGUCAAAUCCACAAACAUACUACUAGACGAGAACACUAUAGCCAAAGUCGCCGAUUUCGGACUCUCGAAACUCACGAUUCGUAAUCAAGAUCCAACUAAUAUCAGCCUAAACAUCAAAGGAACAUUCGGUUACUUAGAUCCAGAGUAUCUCCAAACACAUAUCUUAACAGAGAAAUCUGACGUUUACGCAUUCGGAGUCGUCCUCCUCGAGGUUUUGUUAGCGAGACCAGCUCUAGAUUGUACUCUACGUUACGAAGAAGCGAAUCUAGCGGAAUGGGCGUUGUUCUGCAAAUCAGAAGGUAAAAUCGAUGAGAUCUUAGAUCCGAGUUUGAUAGGUCAAAUUGAGACGAAUUCUUUGAAGAAAUUCAUGGAGAUUGCUGAGAAAUGUUUGAAAGAGUGUGGAGAUGAGAGACCGAGUAUGGGAGAUGUGAUUUGGGAUCUUGAGUAUGUUCUUCAGCUUCAGAUGAUGACGAUUCGUAGAGAAGCUCAUGAAGAAGAUAGUACGGCGAUUGUCUCCUCUGGUGGUUCGUUGGUGGCUCCGAGGUUGAUGGUGAGUGAUUCGUUUAGCACGAACUCGUUUGUUCAGAAGGAUGAUGAAUCGAAGAACAGAUUUGGAUUUACGGAUUCGUCGGAGACUCGAGUUUUUUCGCAGUUGAAGAUCUCUGACGCAAGAUGAUAAAAUCAUUUUCAAUUGUGUGUAAAAUUAUAAAUUUCUUGAAAUGUGUCUCUGGUUCAAUUUCAAAAUUUAAAAGCCGGUUAUUUCCGGUUUAUAGAUAAUCGGAAAUAUGGAGAAUUGGAGACGUUUUCCAAGUUCACCAAAUAUUACAUUUUGGAUGUAAACAUUAUUCCGACUUGGUUGGGAUAAACUGACGAAACUUGAAAUUUAAAACUGUGGCUAUAACUUUGUCAUUUAAAAAAAAAAGAAGAUAGAAAUACAUGACAAUAUAACUAUACAUAUUAAGUAUCAUCCAAAAAAAAAAAAACAUCAUCCAUCAAAAAUUUAUAAAUUAGCGAUUUAAAUAUACUUGGAUCAUAAAAAAAUAUAAUUCGAUAAGACUAAUCAAAUUUGAAUACCAUAAAGUCAUUAAACGAAUCAUGUAACAAUAAUUCGACAAAAUGAAAAUAUAUCACGUAAAAGAAUAAUCACAUGUAUCGGGAAAAAUAAAAAUAAAAAAUCAAUCAAACUAAUAUAUAUGUCAAACCGUGUAAUAUGGACUUUGGGACACCUUGAGUAAAUAUUAGAGAGUGAUGUUUCUUCCUUAUUAUUCAAACCAAUAAUUUCAAUUCUCUAUUUUUCCUUCAAUCUCCUCUUCUUCCAUCCUCUUCACAUAAACCACAAAUGUUUCUUAAUCAAUUGACCUCAAAUACUUGACUUUCAUUAUUUACUCCUCUCUCUCCCGUCUAAGCUAUGGAGAAUCUCUGUUUUUUGAACGUUGUUUCUCUCUUUGUGAUGAUGGUGGUUAUUGUUCUUCUUCCUCAGCUCACUCUUUCUGCAUCAUCUACAUAUCCUCGUCCCGAGAAGUUUUAUGUCAACUGUGAGUCGCGGUCUAAUGUCACAUAUGGUGGUCGGACUUUCGUUGGAGAUAUGACCUUGGGUGGUAACUACGUUUUCUUCACCAGUGAAGGAACUGAAGCCAUCAACCAAUUUGUUUUGUGUUGCUCAAUUUCCAUAACUUAGCUGAAUUCUUGUACUCAAAGAUCUUGUAUAGCUGGCUAUGCUACUUGGGAUGGCGGAUCCGAAUUUAUUUUAUGAAUGUUGAUAUAUUACACGUGUUUAAUUGCAUGGGACGUGAACAUAUCUUUAGUGACGGGUGGGAUAAACUCCAUGACAACACCAAAACUUGAUCUCUCGCUUUCGUCAUUGAACAUCUUUUUUUCAUCAUCAUGCUCCACGUGAACUCUCGCUUACGUUAUAAACUAAGCUAUAACUUCUAACAACCAUGCAUGUUUCAGUUCAACACAUUUACAAGUUCUUAGAUCUAAUGGAGACUCAUUUCCUAAUUUUAUCUCUCAUCUUCUUUGUUUUCAUUUCUCUUAAACUUUUGUUUGGUAAACGGCAUAGCAAGUUUAACCUACCACCAAGUCCGGCUUGGCCCUUGCCGUUGAUUGGACACCUUCACCUCCUGAAGCUCCCGCUUCACCGCACAUUCCUCUCUUUCUCUCAAUCCUUAGGUGACGCCCCAAUUUUCUCCCUCCGCCUCGGAAACCGUCUCACGGUUGUCGUCUCAUCCUACUCCAUCGCUGAAGAAUGCUUUACAAAAAACGACAUUGUUUUCGCCAAUAGGCCAGAGUUGAUUCUCGGGAAACAUAUUGAGUACAACUCCACCACUAUGACUAGUGCGCCUUACGGUGACCACUGGCGAAACUUGCGCCGUAUCGCCACCUUGGAGAUCUUCGCGUCACAUAAGCUUAACGGCUUCUUAUAUGUCCGUAAGGAUGAGAUCCGACACUUGUUACUACGUCUCUCCAAAAACUCGCGACAUGUAUGUGAGCUUCUACAUAUCUUAAAAUUUAUCUAAAUAUAUAUAACCUAGUCAUUUGUAGUAGUGUUGCCACUCUAUCAUUACACGGGUCUAAACCCGGCAAUAUGGUAAAAAAACUCACAAUGGAAAAAAAAUAUGUUUAUACAUAGUCUUAACCAAAAAAAAAGAUUGAGAAGUAUGAAAAUGAAAAAUUUGAGAAUAAUUCAUUUUUAAAAUCUUAUUAUAAAAUCAGGAGUUUGCGAAAGUGGAGAUGAGACAUUUGCUUUUUGAGUUGACUAUCAACAACGUUUUUAGAAUGGUAGCGGGGAAACGAUUUUAUGGUGAGGGCACAGAGCAAGACGAAGUUGCGCAGCAAGUGAGACAGCUGAUGGACGAGAUUGUAACCAGCGCUGGCGCCGGGAAUGCAGCCGACUAUUUACCAAUCAUGCGUUGGAUCACAGAUUUUGAGAAACGCGUCAAGAAGUUAGCGAUUCGGAUCGAUAAGUUUUUGCAGAGUCUAGUGGAUGAGAAACGUGCUGAUAAAGAAAAGGGUACCACAAUGAUAGAUCACUUGCUUUCUCUCCAAGCAACUCAGCCUGAUUAUUAUACAGAUGUCAUUCUUAAAGGACUCAUAGUUGUAAGUAUUGCGUAAUCCAUAUACUAUCUUUAAGAACACUAAUCUAACAUUAUGAUGGUUGAUCAAUUUUGAAUUUACAGGUUAUGAUAAUUGCUGGAUCUGAAACAAUUGCAUGGACUUUAGAAUGGGCGAUGUUGAAUUUGUUGAACCAUCCAGAAGUGUUAAAGAAAGCUAGGACCGAAAUCGAUACGAAAAUCGGUUUUGACCGGUUGAUUGAUGAAGCGGAUACUAAAAAUCUCCCUUAUCUCCAAUGGAUAGUGUUGGAGACCCUACGUCUUCACCCGGCAGCUCCAACAAAUGUUCCA
rnacentral:lncRNA from 1 species